GUGUUUGAAUCAGUUUAGAGCAUGGACAAUAUUCAAAGAACUUGAGAUGCUUGCCUAGAAAUGUUAAAGAAAUGUAUUCUGAAUUUCAACAUAGAUUGGCAAGCACACCUGCUUACCUCUUGUUGACUUACCUAUACAGAAAUUAGUAUUCAAAACUGACAAGAUACAUUUUUAUCUUCUAAGGGCACAGCAUGAUUAUCAGUGAAAAUUAGCAAGUCAAACUUUUGGACAAAAGGGAAAUUCAAAGUUUAUGGCAAUACUCUUAGGGUAUUAAGGAUGAUAUACAGAGCCUUUAUUAUUCUUUUAUUUCUCUUUUAGAAAGUCAAGGGAUUGGUAUCAUCACUUCUUUACAGUAUAAGCAAACCUAUAACUUGAGACUACGAACACAGCAAAUAGGCAUUAUCUCUGUUGUUGUUCUUAAUCCCCAAAAGAUGAAAGUGUUAACUAUCAACCCUAGUUCUAAUUAUUUAAGAUGUAGUAAAGAUGAAACUUUGUUAAACAGAGACAGGUAAAAGAAUUUUAUAAAGGAAAACAUAUAAUUAUGUCCCCAAAAGACAAUAAAGAAUUUAUAACAAAACCGUAUGUGGGAAAUAUAUUAAAUUACAUCCUGAAUACAACUUAUCAAACAAAAGAAUGACAUAUUUUUAAAAACAUGCAAUGUGUCACAGAGAAGCUGUGUAAUAGCUUUUUAUUAUCAGCCAUAGUAAUAGUCUAAAGAUUAGAAUCAAGCUGUGAUUUAAGCAUUUAUAUCUUAACAUAGUUAGCAUACACAUCUUACUGUGUCUGGUGUUUUAGUAAUCCGGACGGAGGUGUUGGGUGAGGAAUUACACAUGAUGGUCUUCUCUUACUUAAAGUGUUAAUUUCAGGAAAUUCACUCUCACUGAAGGUUUUCAUAGCAAUCCAUAACUUCAUGAGGCAAAUAUCCAGACGUACAUGCAUUUCAUAGAUCAUGUACCACUUUCUUACAAGGCAUCCAGUUUCCUCUUUUCCCUUCCCCUUCCUAACAAUGCUGCUGAGGCUUGAGUGUCACCAAUGAGUGGCUGCACGUGUGGUUUGGGAAAAAGCAGAUCAGACCCCCAGAAGCAGCCAUGAUUGGCAGGUGCACUGUCGCCCACUUUCCCCAGAAAGCAAUAUCCAUGCCAAUCAUUCAUGGUUCAACAUAAGUUACUGGGAUAUAAACUGUGGUCAGAAAGAAGAUACUAUCCCUGGAAAUAAACCUGCUUAUACAAUCCAUGCUUUCAUUUUUUAAAGGAUGUAGUGAAGAGAAAAUCAUUCUUGCUAUAGUAACACAAGAGGGCACAGUUCAAGGAUGGUAAGAUCUGGUUGUGUCCAUACAGCUAUUAAUUAUACUUGUUUCUUCUUGUGUUAGAAAUUUAAUCACCUUAAUAAAGUCAAAAAUUUUAUUUCUAAAGUGCAGUUCAAUGAUUUCACAAUCCUUUAGGAAAAGUAUCACUAAUCCUCUAAAGAAUGAAGAAAAUUGACUUUAACUACAUUUUGC
rnacentral:lncRNA from 1 species